rnacentral:rRNA from 1 species
CGUACGGGUGAGUAACACGCGAGUAUCUACACAUAGGAGAGGAAUAACAUUUGGAAACAAUUGAUAAUACCUCGUAAUGCUAUUAAUUUAGUUAAAGACUUUUCGCCUAUGUAUGAGCUUGCGGCUGAUUAGCUAGUUGGUGUAGGUAAAGGCUUACCAAGGCGAUUAUCAGUAGCUGCUUUGAGAGAAGAGGCAGCCACACUGGGAUUGAGAUACAGAACAGACUUCUACGGGAGGCAGCAGUGGGGAAUAUUUGGCAAUGGGUGAAAGCCUGACCGAGCAAUACCGCGUGAAGGAAGAAGGCCUUUGGGUUGUAAACUUCUUUAGUCAACGAAGAAUAUAUGACUUAAGUUGAAAAAUAAGCACCGGCUAAUUACGUGCCAGCAGCCGCGGUAAUUCUUAAGGUGCGAGCGUUGUACGGAAUUAUUGGGCGUAAAGCGUCUGUAGAUUGUAAUAACUAACUUCUUUGUCAAAGGCUGGAGCUUAACUUUAGUGUGGCAUUGAAAAAUGGUUUACUUGAGUAUGAUAGGGGUAGGGGGGAAUUUUUAGUGUAGCGGUGAAAUGCGUAGAUAUUAGAAAGAACACCAAUGGCGAAAGCACCCUAGUUGGUUAAUACUGACAUUGAGAGACGAAAGCGAGGGGAGCAAAACGGAUUAGAUACCCGUGUAGUCCUGGCUGUAAACGAUGAACACUUGGUGAUAUUUACAUUGCCGUAGCCAACGCGUUAAGUAUUCCGCCUGGGGAGUAUGCUUGCAAAAGUGAAACUCAAACGAAUUGACGGGGGCCCGCACAAGUGGUGGAGCAUGCAAUUUAAUUAGAUG